rnacentral:tRNA from 2 species
GAUUCCGUAGCUCAGCUGGGAGAGCACUACCUUGACAGGGUAGGGGUCGCUGGUUCAAGUCCAGUCGGAAUCA